AUUCAGACAAACUCCGAAUGCCAAAUAAUUUAACUUGGGAGUCAGAACAUGGGUGAUAAGGCCCGUAUUCGAAAAGGAAACAGCCCAGACCACCCGCUAAGGACCCAAAUUAUAUGUUAAGUGGAAAAGGAUGUGACGUUGCCCUGACAACUAGGAUGUUGGAUUAGAAGCAGCCAUCAUUUAAAGAGUGCGAACUAACUAACUAGACGAGUGACACUGCGCCGAAAAUGUACCGUGGCUAAAUAUAUUACCGAAGCUGUGGAUUGUCCUUUGGACUAUGGUAGGAGCGCGUUCUACGGGCGUUGAAGCAUGAUCGUAAGGACAUGCGGCGCGCUUAGAAGUGGGAAUGUCGGUGUGAGCAUCGACAGCCGCGUGAGCAUCCCGUCCACCGUCUGCCUAAGGUUUCCAGAGGCAGCCGCCUCCUCCCUGGGUUAGUCGGGUCCUAAUCUGAGCCCGAC
rnacentral:rRNA from 2 species